rnacentral:rRNA from 1 species
UACGUAGGCAGCAAGCGUUGUUCGGAGUUACUGGGCGUAAAGGGUGCGUAGGUGGCUCUAUAAGUAUGGUGUGAAAUCUCCCGGCUUAACUGGGAGGGUGCGCCGUAGACUGUGGGGCUAGAGUGUGGGAGAGGAAAGUGGAAUUCCUGGUGUAGCGGUGAAAUGCGUAGAUAUCAGGAGGAACACCGGUGGUGUAAACGGCUUUCUGGGACCAUAAACUGACACUUGGAGGCACGAAAAGCGUGGGUAGCAAAACAGG